rnacentral:rRNA from 1 species
GUCCUUUAGAUUUAUAAUUUAAGGUUUAACCUGCCCAUUGAAAUUUUUGAAAGGCCGCAGUAAUUUGACUGUGCAAAGGUAGCAUAAUCAUUAGUUUUUUAAUUAAAAGCUUGCAUGAAUGGUUGGACGAGAUAAAAUCUGUCUUUUAAUUAAAUAUAGAAUUUAAUUUUUAAGUUAAAAAGCUUAAAUAUUAGUAAAAGACGAGAAGACCCUAUAGAUCUUUAUAUAAUUUUUUAUAGUGUAAAUAAGGAUUAAUUAAUUUAUUAUGAUAAUUUAUAUUUUAUUGGGGUAAUAGAAAGAUUAAUAUAAUUCUUUUUUUUGAAAUAUUAAUAAAUAGUUUUUUGAUCCAUUAAUAGUGAUAAUAAGAUUAAGUUACCUUAGGGAUAACAGCGUAAUUUUUUUAGAGAGUUCAUAUCGAUAAAAAAGAUUGCGACCUCGAUGUUGGAUUAAAAUUAAUCUUAGGUGCAGAAGUUUAAGAUUUUGGUCUGUUC